ensembl:snRNA U6 U6 spliceosomal RNA
GGUCACUUCAGCAGCUCAUAUACUAAAAUUGGAACAAUGUAGAGAUUAGCAUGGCCCCUGUGUAAGGAUGACAUGUAAAUGUGUGUAACAGUCCAUAUGUUU